AACAUUGCCGGUCUGCGGAAAUAAUGGACAGGAAAAUAUCAGAUAAUAACUCUCAAAAUUGACAAACUAUCCCAGCAUGCCUACUCUGGCCUCUUGUUGCUUCUUCUACCCAGAGUCCUAGAUAAGUGGUUAGAUGAUCGAACCUUGAUUGAACCUAAACAAUCAGGGAUGGAGACUCAAAGAACGAUAAGUUGGUUGAUACCUACAAUCUUGCGCAUCCUCACAGGGCAACGACGCCACUAUCCAGUGCCCAGUUAGGGUCAUAUCAGCGCACUGCCUCACCAGAAGAUAUUCAUUAUUAUCAGCGUAGAAUCGGAUCUUGUAUCUACGCAGCGGUAAUGACCCGUCCAGAUAUUGCCUACGUCGUUGGCUAGCUAGCUACCUCCAUGUCCAACCUGUCUGCAGGCCAUUCUACAGAAAUCGACCGCGUUAUCGCCCAACUACGAGAUAUGAAGAAUCUAGCUAUCCAAUAUAGCGCAGAACCAGCACUAUCGCCAUAGUAGCACUGCAAGUACGACGGCUGAUGCGGGUUAAGGCCAUUGCUAUCACUCAACGGACUGUCUCUCGGUUUUCAAGAGCUAGCUUAUCGGGCUCAUAACUGUCUGAAAUGGAUGAUUUUCCAAAAUAUUGCCACAAAGUUACUGAAUAUCAAGUUGAAUUGUAUUCUAAUAAUGAUUUCUGAUUAUUGACACGAAAAGAUAGCAGUAUUUAUAAGAAUAGAAUGGUCAUAAGCGAG
rnacentral:sRNA from 1 species